AUGCGCCGGGUUUGCCCUCAGGUGAGAGAGGCCAACUCCGCACGCCGGGAGGGAGAGGGGCGGGCUCGUGCCCAGAGGAAGGGACCACGACGUCUCGGGAACUCCCCGUUCACCCCAAGUGCCGACCCCGGCAGGAACGUAGACCUGGCAAAGACGGGCCUAAAUCUCAACGUCUUUGGAACAAAGCAGCUCUUGUGUGGCAAGCAGGAGAGGAGCCCUGGGGACAGGAGUCCCACCUGGAAGAAAAGUUUAUCUGACAGGAACCAUAUUCACCAAAGCUUCAGAACAAAUGCAGAAGAACCCAGAAAAGAGUGGGUCCUAAUUUGUUCCACCAGAAGCAUUUUGUUAUUACCUUUUCCAGAAAGAGCCAGACUUGGUGAUGUCACCACAUCCAGAAGCCAUCACAGACUGUAUGACAGUGGAAACUGGUCCAGCUUGCAGAAGCUUAUCCUUCACAGUUGUCCGUACUCUCCCAACAACAGCAGAAAAUGGACACAACUCAGGUGAGUUGUAUGUAUGCACCUUUUUUUAUAAUAAAUAUAAAUA
rnacentral:lncRNA from 1 species